rnacentral:lncRNA from 1 species
UCCCGCCGUCCGUCCACUUAAGCAGGGAAAGGGAAGAGAGGGGUUCUGAGCUUCUGUGAAUGUGAAUGUAUGUUUCUCUGCUUCCAGCUCUUUCCAAAGCCCAUUCCCUGAAUCAUCUGAUAGCUUGUUGGGCAGAUGAUCCUGAAUCACAUCCUGGAAGUCUAUCUUCAUAAGGCCUGGAGAAAUGGGAGUUAUCUCUCCCCUGUGGGACUCCGCUCUUUCUCCUCCAAAAUGUCAAGUUCCUAAUUUGUUUAUUUUUGAGUCAGGAUUUUAUGUAGUCCAGGCUGGCCCCGAAAGCACUGUGCACCCAAAGAUAUCCUUGAACUUCUGAUCUCCGACCUUCACCUGAGAUGAGCAAGUGUGCAUUUGUGUUAGUAUCCAACCUAGGUCUUCAUGUGUGCUAGCCAAGCCCUCUAUUAACUAAGUUACAGCCCCAACCCCGAGUUUCCUAAUUUGAUUGGCACAGAAAAACCAAAACUGCUUUAAAAGUGAUAGCACCUGUGUCCUAGAUGUGCACACACUCACUGUACAUAUGCACUGUGCUCUCAGCCCCAGUCUGUUUGAGAGGUCUUAGUCUGCUCCUGCUGCUAUAACAAAAUGUAAGUCACUAAAAAUUAUUCCCCACACUGUUCAAGGCUAGCAGAAGACUCAGGGUCUGGUCAAGGCUCCCUCUCUGCUUCAUAGAUGGUACAUCUUGCUGCACCCUCAAAUAGUAGGGUAUAGACAGAUAGGCUCCCCCAAACCCCUUCUUGUUUUUUUGUUUUUUGUUUGUUUCUUUUUUUAUUUAUUAUUAUAUCUAAGUACACUGUAGCUGUCUUCAGAUGCACCAGAAGUGGGCAUCAGGUCUCAUUAUGGAUGGUUGUGAGCCACCAUGUGGUUGCUGGGAUUUGAACUCAGGAC